UAAUCGUUUUAAUCGAUGGGGGGACGCAGUAGGAUAGGCGAAGCGUGCGAUUGGAUUGCACGUCUAAGCAGUAAGGCUGAGUAUUAGGCAAAUCCGGUACUCGUUAAGGCUGAGCUGUGAUGGGGAGAAGACAUUGUGUCUUCGAGUCGUUGAUUUCACACUGCCGAGAAAAGCCUCUAGAUAGAAAAUAGGUGCCCGUACCGCAAACCGACACAGGUAGUCAAGAUGAGAAUUCUAAGGUGAGCGAGCGAACUCUCGUUAAGGAACUCGGCAAAAUGACCCCGUAACUUCGGGAGAAGGGGUGCUCUUUAGGGUUAACGCCCAGAAGAGCCGCAGUGAAUAGGCCCAAGCGACUGUUUAUCAAAAACACAGGUCUCUGCUAAACCGUAAGGUGAUGUAUAGGGGCUGACGCCUGCCCGGUGCUGGAAGGUUAAGAGGAGUGGUUAGCUUCUGCGAAGCUACGAAUCGAAGCCCCAGUAAACGGCGGCCGUAACUAUAACGGUCCUAAGGUAGCGAAAUUCCUUGUCGGGUAAGUUCCGACCCGCACGAAAGGCGUAACGAUUUGGGCACUGUCUCAACGAGAGACUCGGUGAAAUCAUAGUACCUGUGAAGAUGCAGGUUACCCGCGACAGGACGGAAAGACCCCGUGGAGCUUUACUGUAGCCUGAUAUUGAAAUUCGGCACAGCUUGUACAGGAUAGGUAGGAGCCUUUGAAACGUGAGCGCUAGCUUACGUGGAGGCGCUGGUGGG
rnacentral:rRNA from 1 species